CAUGGAGACGCACACCACGGCUGCCGCGGCAACAAGGAGGAGAAGUACGGAGAGGGAAAGGAGACGCAGCGGCAUUCUGGACUGCGAAGGUGAAAUGUAACCCUCACUGAAUGUGGAGAGGAUGGGACUGAAAGGAAAGAGGAGGAAAUAAAGACGUGAAAACUGCAUUUGUGUUGAGAGGCACGAGAACAAAUGUAGGUAAAAAGCUCAAUUAAAGGAAAUCACCGCACUCAGCAAAGGUAAACCACCUACGCCUGAUCCCCAAGCAGACAGGAAGAGAGUAGGCGGACAAAAAUUAACUCCAAUUCAGAAAACAAACGACUCCAUUAGAUUUUCAACAAUCUAAGACAAAUUCAUGAAUUUAAAGUUGGGAACAAGCAAAACAUUUCAAAAAGUUGGAAUAAUAAUUGGAAGGAGCCGAGGGAUCAGAACUAUGGCAACAACAGAUCUGCAUCUCCAGAUCCCCAUCCAGUUUGGCACAAAGGUCACUCAUGUUUAUGUAUUUCAUGGCAGUCAGGAAGCGAGUCCAGUCCGCAGCUGAAAAGGGGGGAAAUGUUCCUGUGAUGGAGGGGCUGCUGCGCCCGUUUCCCAAAUCAAUCAGUCAGGGAGACGAACUGACGCUGUGACUCAAUGAAGGCUAACGGCGGAAACUUCACGGCUUCAGUUCAGACGACUCCACAGAUUCAGCAUCAGCUUGUGGUCAGUCCAGUUUGCCUAAACUAAGCUGGACUUGUUUUUGUCUUUAUAUCUAAAUGCUGUUUAUCGUUACUUAGGGCUGGGCGAUAUGAUAUGGUUUUUUUUCAAACCGGAUGCGAUUUUAAUCGAUUCCCACUUUCUUUUCUGAAAAGGAAAUUACAAAUGACAGAAAACAUUUCCAAAAAUUAGCUUUUAUCUCAGUCAUUCCCUCUUUGUGUUGUACGACCUGGUAUUAGCGCCAGGCUGCGACAACUUUAGCGAAAUAUUAGAAUAAAGACACAAUUUAGCAGAAGAAAGCUGGAUGGUAAACAGCUUUUACUAUCCAGUUAUUGAUUGGUGAAAUAAUAAAAUAAUCAAUAGAUUAGUUGUGCUCUGUACUGAUGUUAAGAGGGCUGAGCUUUGAUGUUUUUUUAAGUUAUAGAUGCAUCCUUUGCUACAGAUGUUCAAGUGUUCGCUAAAUUAAUUCUAUGUUGUUGUGUUUUAGGCCAAAAAAUAUAUUUUCUUACUUAAAAAAGGAAUUUAAUUGUUUGUUUAUUUCCAUAUUUCAAUAUAUUUCUAAUAUGCCUGCAGAAUCUGCCAUGUCUUUCCGAUUAAUGGAUUCAUUGUCAGAAUAAUCGAUUACAAACAAAAGUAGUUCAGAAGGCUGACGUUUUUGCAUUAAAAAUUAAUUUAUGAUCAGUUAAAUUUGGGUUUUCAUUAGCUUUAAGUGAUAAUUAUCAAAAUUAAGAAGAAAUAAACACCUUAAAUAUAUCACUCUGAGCUUUACAGAACGCAUCAGCUUCACCUUUCGAAGUGAAAAAGAGAAAAAAGAUGUGGAUGCCUGUCCAGUGGCGCAAAAAGGGGGUAUGCGCUAUAGGUGAGGCACAGGGGCGCUGCGCUGGAGGGGGCGCCAGAAUAUGGCGGAAAUCAGAUUCCUAAUAGAGAACAAGCUAGUGGGCGCUUUUUAUAUCUUCAUUUGAAUUGUUUUGUCUGAUGACUGAGAGCUAAAGAUGGAACAAACGGAAGAGGGAAUAAAGUGAUGAAAAAUCUC